rnacentral:rRNA from 1 species
CCUACGGGAGGCAGCAGUGGGGAAUAUUGCACAAUGGGGGAAACCCUGAUGCAGCGACGCCGCGUGAGUGAAGAAGUACUUCGUUAUGUAAAGCUCUAUCAGCAGGGAAGAAAAUGACGGUACCUGAGUAAGAAGCCCCGGCUAACUACGUGCCAGCAGCCGCGGUACUACGUAGGGGGCAAGCGUUAUCCGGAUUUACUGGGGGUAAAGGGAGCGUAGACGGCAGUGCAAGUCUGGAGGGAAAGGCGGGGGCUCAACCCCCGGACUGCUCUGGAAACUGUACGGCUGGAGUGCAGGAGAGGUAAGUGGAAUUCCUAGUGUAGCGGUGAAAUGCGUAGAUAUUAGGAGGAACACCAGUGGCGAAGGCGGCUUACUGGACUGUAACUGACGUUGAGGCUCGAAAGCGUGGGGAGCAAACAGGAUUAGAUACCCCAGUAGUC